UUUCUUUCUCUGUCCCGUUUCAAUUUUCUUUUCGUCCUCAUUUUCUUUUUCAUUUUUUCUUUUGCCUCUAAUUUUCGAAUAAUUAUGGUGUGGGCUGGUGGUCGUCAAUAACGAAUUUGUGUGGGCUGGUGGCGUCAACACAUGAUUAAUUAGGGCGUCACAACCGAUUAAUUAUGGUGUUUAUGGUCAAAUUCGACCAUAAAAAUUCCAGAUCUGGAGUUUUUAUGUUUGAAUUUAACCAUAUAAUCCCAAUUUCGAGGUUUUGGAGGUGGAAUUGCAGAAUGUAGGAAAUGAAUCAACAAUUGCAACAAGCAACACAAAAAUGCCUAGAAAUUUUGGUUGAGAUGCAAGAGUACGAAAGAAUAAAAGCACUUAAGAUACAGGUGGUUGACUCUAAUUCUAUGAACAAGGUUGAUAAUAUUUCAAAUCUGGUUGUGCAAGAUGAAGAAGAAAUCGAGGUGCUAGAUGAUGAAUUAGAUUUAGCUUUGUCUUAUCCAUUAAUUGAUGCAACCCAAGCAAUUAAACAAAAUGAACAGAAGAUCCGAGCUAUACAACAUAUGUCUGUGAGAAAAUUAGACUUGGUGGUUCAUGAUAUAUCUUUUCCUAGUUAUUUUAAUUGUUUGCAUAUGGAAGCAACCACACUAAAAAUUGGAAUUGGUGGUAAAAUCAGGAGAGGUGGAAACAAUGAUCUUCGGGAGAAUAUAUUUUCAUAUUUUGUUCGUUUGAUUUGGAUAAUUUCUUGGUUCAAUAAAACAAAAGAGGGGGAGAAUGAUGCGGAUCAAGUAUCAAGAAUUUAAUAGUCUAGAUAUAUUUUCAUUAGGAUUUAUUUAUUCGUAUUCAUAUGAUUUACUUAAGAUAAUAUCUAUCUUUUUAUAGGAUAUUAUAAGAGAUUAUACGAUUUUAUUUUAUCUUUUAGGUUUGUUUAUCCUAUUAGGUAUGGGAUUCUAUGCCUACAAAUAUUUUUUUUGUUAAUGAGAAUUUAGAGUGAUUAAGUUUAUGAAAACAUGAAAAUUGUGAGUUAGGUCAAGUGAAUCGAAUUGAUUUCAAAA